ensembl:lncRNA
CAGGACUAAACCAGGACUAGACCAGGACUAAACCAGGACUAAACCAGGUCUAAACCAGGACUAAACCAGGUCUAAACCAGAACUAAAGCAGGACCAAACCAGGUCUAAACCAGGUCCAAACCAGGUCUAAACCAGGACUAAACCAGGACUAAACCAGGUCUAAACCAGGUCCAAACCAGGUCUAAACCAGGUCUAAACCAGGACUAAACCAGGACUAAACCAGGUCUAAACCAGGUCUAAACCAGGUCUAAACCAGGUCUAAACCAGGUCUAAACCAGGUCCAAACCAGGUCUAAACCAGGACUAAACCAGGACUAAACCAGGUCUAAACCAGGUCUAAACCAGGUCCAAACCAGGUCCAAACCAGGUCCAAACCAGGACUAAACCAGGACUAAACCAGGUCUAAACCAGGUCUAAACCAGGUCUAAACCAGGUCUAAACCAGGACUAAACCAGGUCCAAACCAGGUCCAAACCAGGUCUAAACCAGGUCCAAACCAGGUCUAAACCAGGACUAAACCAGGACUAAACCAGAACUAAACCAGGUCUAAACCAGGUCUAAACCAGGUCCAAACCAGGUCUAAACCAGGUCCAAACCAGGUCUAAACCAGGACUAAACCAGGACUAAACCAGGUCUAAACCCGGUCUAAACCAGGACUAAACCAGGUCUAAACCAGGUCUAAACCAGGUCUAAACCAGGUCUAAACCAGGUCUAAACCAGGACUAAACCAGGACUAAACCAGGACUAAA